AGGAGCUGCUUAGGUUUUUAUUCUUUGCCGCGAGGGAGUGGAGAGAGAAUUCUCCCCGAUGGCGGCAGCUGCUGCUCCGGCGAUCCCAGUGCUUGUGGCUGGAGGAGUAGCAGCUCUCGUCCUGAAAUUCUUCUCCAGGAGGCCACCAGCAGCGCCAGAAAUCCAGGGAGAAGCAUCCGAUGAUGGUAAAGAUGCUUCCUCCGCUCCAGAGGUUCCUCCGAUCACUCUCAGCUGGCACAAGAUCUGCUGCGCGCUCCAGGCCAAGGAUGGCAUCACGACGGUGAAGCGCCUGCUUAAGAAUCUGAGUGGAGAAGCGAAGGCAGGGAGGCUUCUGGCGAUCAUGGGGCCAUCUGGCUCUGGAAAGACGACCAUUCUUAACGUUCUAGCCGGGCAGCUCGCUGCAUCGCCUCGACUCAAGCUUACGGGGCUGCUCUUCGUCAAUGGAACUCCCUGCGUUUCUACGUCUUACAAGGUUGCAUAUGUCCGGCAAGAAGAUCUCUUCUUCUCUCAACUCACGGUUCGCGAGACACUCUCCCUUGCUGCUGAGCUUCAAUUGCCGGGAUCUAGCACUGCUGCGGAGAGGAGUCGCUACGUGGAUGACAUACUGCAACGCUUGGGGCUGGUGCGCUGUGCGGACACGCCCGUGGGUGAUGCCAAAGUGAGAGGCAUCAGUGGUGGAGAGAAAAAGAGGCUGUCGAUAGCCUGCGAACUCAUUGCCAGUCCAUCUGUAAUUUUUGCCGACGAGCCAACUACAGGACUUGAUGCAUUUCAAGCAGAGCAAGUGAUGGAAACUCUCAAGAAACUUGCCCAAGAUGGUCAUACCGUUGUGUGUUCGAUUCAUCAGCCUCGUGGAUCAAUCUAUUCCAAGUUUGACGACCUCUUAUUGCUCUCGGAGGGAUCAGUCAUUUAUGCAGGCCCGGCACAAAAUGAAGCUCUAGCAUAUUUUGCAGGCCUCGGGCAUUCGUGUCCAGAACACGUAAAUCCGGCGGAAUUUUUUGCCGACCUCAUCUCGAUCGAUUAUAGCUCCCCGGAGAAAGAAUCGGCCUCAAGAAAACGCGUGGAAGCUUUUGUGGAAAUUUUUGCGACUACACUGUAUGCCACUCGAUCACUUUCUGGGACCGAGCCAGCUCCCGUAAAGCUUUCCACACAAUAUGUUACACAGCAGAAGGUUGGGUGGUGGAAGCAGUUCAGGCUGCUCUUUAGACGAGCCUGGCUGCAGGCAAUACGCGAUGGCCCGACAAACAAAGUGCGAAGUAGGAUGUCCGUUGCAGCUGCCAUGAUCUUUGGCUCGAUCUACUGGAGAAUGGGGCGUUCCCAGACGUCAAUUCAAGAUCGUAUGGGUCUCCUUCAGGUUGCAGCUGUGAACACUGCAAUGGCUGCACUGACCAAGACUGUUAAUGUCUUUCCUAAGGAACGUGCUAUCGUUGAUAGAGAGAGAGCCAAGGGAAGCUACGGUUUGGCACCUUACUUGGCUGCGAAGCUCAUAGCGGAGAUGCCAAUUGGUGCUGCCUUUCCUCUCCUCUUUGGUGCCAUUCUCUAUCCAAUGGCUCGGCUCCAUCCAUCAGCAAAGAGGUUUGGUAGUUUCUCAAGCAUUGUGACUGUGGAGUCUUUCACGGCGUCGGCUAUGGGAUUGUGUGUGGGAGCCAUGGUUCCCACUACGGAGGCAGCAAUGGCACUGGGACCAUCGCUCAUGACCGUGUUCAUCGUCUUUGGUGGCUACUACGUGAACUCGGAGAACGCUCCCGUCAUGUUCCGCUGGAUUCCGCGAGUGUCACUCAUAAGAUGGGCUUUCCAAGCACUGUGCAUAAACGAGUUUAAGGGAUUAAAGUUCGAGUGUGACAAACCGUAUGAUCUUCCCAACGGGGAACAGGCACUGGAAAGAUUGGGAUUCGGUGACAGCACCAUAAACAAGGCAAUGGUGGAAGAAGGCCGAAUUCUCCUCUUUUGGUACACAAUGACAUACGCAUUGAUGAGGAAGAACAAGCCUCGGUACCAACGUAUUGUAGCACCAGAUGAGAGCUCAUAACACCCGAAUAUAAAGUACUCAACUCAGCAUCGAGGAGAGUCCUGCAGCGAUCGCCUCCUUGCCAGCCACGUCAAAUGGCUCGUCACCAAUGUAGAGAUCAAACAGGCAGCGGCACAGGAGUUCGCUCUUGACACUCCCGACCUCCUGGCCAUCGACUGAGAAGGAAGAACAGAAAAUGGACGUGACCGGGGAGUCGGACCAUGUCGAUGGCUGUCCCCUUUGGCAGCUUGAUAUCCUCCUUGAAGAGCUGAGUGAAACUGUGGAGGAGCAAAGAGAAGAGAUCGAGUGCUAGGAAACGAGAGAAGCAACUUAUCAAGCCAAACCUCUGGAGGAGUUGUUUGUUC